CAUGUAGUAUAAAUGAUGCAGCCUCCUAGUGGAAGUUGCUGGGAUGGAGGCUGAGUGCUUUUAAGCGACACUCAAGAUAGAUCAGAAUGUCAAGGCCUAAAUGUUUUGUGGGAAACCUGAUCAGCACUAUCUGAUCAAUGGUAUAUAGAAAAUUGUAUUAGGAAAUUAGAGGCUUAGAAACCACUGCUCUGCUAUAAUACUCAGAAGAAUCAGUCCUCUGAGUCCAGGUUAAAUUGAAAGACAAUUUAAUUGAAUUAGUAGUACUUUUGUCUUUCGUAAAGAGACUAACCCGGGGUCUGUGGCUUAAAUUGUUUGCGAGCUAUUGCGCUUUGAAUAUCUGAAUGGCUGUCAAAUAUCGAAUGUCAAACUAACUUUACCACUGUAGAAUUAACAGGUGAAUAUAAUGAAACAACUAUUGAUAACUGUUUAAACUUUUUAAAAAAUUAUAUUUUCAGUGACAUCACAUUUCAAUUACGUGUGUGUGUUAGUCUCCUGACUUAAGCCCACAAUUGUUUUGUUUGUUUUUGAUUACCAUAUAUCCGUAUUAGUGUGAUAUUAAGGGACCCCAACUUUAAACUAUCGUUUGUGUUGCACUUUUAUUUUGAAACAAAAAAUGGGUAAGGAAGUCAGCACUUCACGUACAAGAGACGUUGUAGAAGCAACAAGAAUUAGAUUUGUGUCCUGUAAUGUCCUCAAAGGGGCAGUUAAUCAACGCUUUCUUAAAAUAAAUAAGGCGACAAAAAUUGAUAGGUAGUACUAGGUUAGGAGCACGUGUCAAUGGAUAACGACGCAUUUCAAUCGCAAACAACGUCAAUUCUGUCUGUUUUUAUUGAAGCGGCCCUUGCGGAAAUGUGCAAAGUUGAGCAUGAAAGGUCAAUCGUGGCUUCAUAUAGUGGAAUAUCUUGCAAAUGCUAUGAAGGAGAUCAACAAUGUAACACAGAGGUACAGCUGGUCUCCAUCAUGCACUUGUUGAUCAAGGAAACGGUUCGAAAAUUAUGCAGGUUAUUUGCAGAGUGUACUGCAAUGCUACAAAAUGAAAACAAGACCCUGAAGAGUAAGCUGACAUUGAUGGUGACAUCGUUGGACUUAGGCAGUUCUUUGUCCCCACCCAGUGUAAUGAUAUAUGGGGAGACCUCAGCAUCAUCAGUGGAAGAACACAGCAAGCCGGAGGAUGGAUCAAGCAGCUGUUCCAUCAAGUGUGAGGAGAUCUCUGGAAACAAUGCUACAUCAGGUAAACUCUUUCUUAUCUAAGUGAUUCUGCUCAGUAG
rnacentral:lncRNA from 1 species